UGUGGGAGCGAGCUUGCUCGCGAUGACGGUGUGUCAGUCUCCAGGUGUGUCGACUGACCGUCCGCUAUCGCGAGCAAGCUCGCUCCCACA
rnacentral:misc_RNA from 1 species